rnacentral:rRNA from 1 species
UACGGGGGGGGCAAGCGUUGUUCGGAAUUACUGGGCGUAAAGGGCUCGUAGGCGGCCAACUAAGUCAGACGUGAAAUCCCUCGGCUUAACCGGGGAACUGCGUCUGAUACUGGAUGGCUUGAGGUUGGGAGAGGGAUGCGGAAUUCCAGGUGUAGCGGUGAAAUGCGUAGAUAUCAGGAAGAACACCCGUGGCGAAGGCGGCUCUCUGGGACGGUACUGACGCUGAGACGCGAAAGCGUGGGGAGCAAACAGG